GUUUCUAUUAGCUCAGAAUCAUGCUCUGUUUCUCUUCACUGACUAUAAAGGCAGCCUGGGGUGACUGGCUCCCAUGGAGGCCUCCAUCGUGCAGAUGCCUAUGUGAGAAGGGCUCUGGUAAAGGUGAACCAACCCUCCAUAGCUUUGAUAAACUUUGACUGCAUCACACCCUGUUGACUUCUGCUUUGGUGACGCAUGGCAAGUGCAGAAGUACUGGUGGGUCAAGGACAAGUCAUGCUCAGGUGACUCCUGCAGAAUGCUACCACAUCACUCAAGCAAUUCAGGCCAUGCACAGAAGAUGGGCACGCUCCCUUCAUAAGUGCUUAUGUUGGGGAUUUGGUGUCCUCUGCUGAGCACGACCUAUCAUCAGCUUGGCGAUGACAAGGUGCAAAUGUUGGCAACCUGAGCCACAAAUCUUAGGGUCUUUUAACAUAUCUCCAGUGGCCAGCACAAACCAAAUGGAAGAACAACGAGAAGACACAGGCAGCAUGAAAUCCACAGACACAGAGCACUAAACCAAAACACCACCACGCUGCUCACACAGAUGUCAAAACAAAGCACAAGCUCUGGGAUUCAUCUUUUGCCAGUUCAGUGCAAACAGUUUGGCUCACAGAAAUUAAGCGAGGAAGUCUAGCUUCAAACACAGCCAGAGAGUGAGCGGGAAUGUGGAUGACAUCCAGCUCUUUUGAACUUGGUUGAUACUCGGACAAAGAGGGACUGAUGGUCACCCAUGAGCUGUGGAGGACAGUGGCGCUUCCCUGUUCAUUGCCAGGGAGCUGGACCAGAUGACCUUUAAAGGCCGACUCAAGAGCCCUUGCAAGGAGACAUAGUCAAACACAAACUCCUAGCUACCAAAGCUUGAGGAUCAUACAGCAAAAUCCAAGCUGAUAUACCCAGUGGGAUUUAUCAUUUAGGGUUUGGCUCCAUCUUAGUUGGGCUCUUCACUGGGCUACUUUCUGGCUCACAGUUGAGUUGACAUCUAUCCAGAUGUGACACUGAUCCAGACCUGCUGCACACAGUCACUGCACAGAGGCAAAAUAGGUGCUCCAGGACUGUGUCUUCACCCGCUAGCUACAGUCAAGUGUUGCUCACCCAAAGUUAACCACGAAAUCUUUCCUGGAGUGACUCUGAGUCUCCUGUGCAGACGAUAGUCUGAAGGGUGGUGACUGAAGACAGUAUCAGCCAAAGAUAUUAUCCAGAAGCAGUUUGCGUUCAAGUGAUCCUGCCAAAAUCACUGUAUGGAAGCUCAGAUAACAGACAACCUCUCUUUCCAAUAGAAGAAAGCCCUUUUUCUUUGCCAGUGAAACUGUGAGACAGACAUUUCAUCAGCUCAGAUCUACUGGCUGCAGUUCAGUCAAUCUGCUCUGGUUCUCGAGGGUAAAAUAACAACCCUUCUGGGUAGAGAGUGCUGUUGGCAAUUGCUUCUGUAUUCCCAUUACUUUUGACUAUUCGUUCUUCCUGCCCUUCCUUUUUCUCAUGCCAUUCUUCUGGGUCUUCCCACUUAUCAGAGAUCACAAGUCUCCUCUGAUACAAUUAUCACAAACUCAGUCCAGAAAAGGUUUCUGCUUUGCAAAGAGAAAGAGGAAAGCCCUAGAUGUUGAACGUAGCCGUACAAUUGCACAGGUGCCUCCAACCUCAGCCAUUAGCUGAUUCUGUGGAUCUGUACUUUGUUGUCUUAGUCACCCCCCCUUAAACUCUCUUAAGGCUCUUUCCAUAUAGAGCUUUGUCUGUCAAGGAAUGAAAGACAAGCCUGGGGAUAUCUAGUUAGAAGGAACAGCAACACGGACCUUGCUGAGUCAUUCUUUUUAGGAAUAAUUUUUCAAUCCUGUUUCUAAAAGCCUGGUGUCUUUUUCUCUACUUGCUGGUGGUAGACAGAACUCUGGAGAACCUCAGUAGGAUUUCAUUCUGUUGUUUAGUCAAUGAUUUGUUUCAACUCCAGAGUGAUCAUGUUGGCUCUUGAAAUGAUGUUGGCACAGUUCUGUGGCUAAAGACCUGAUCUGGCUUAUGCAUCAAGCUCGCUGGGAGAGCCUUGACCCCUUCCUUCACCAUUGCCUCAUAAAAAUAUAGCACAAGCUACAUUUUCUUUCCUCUAGGUUUUCAGAUGCCAUUGGAAUCACAGUCUUGCUUAGGAGAAGUAAGAAAAGUAGAUUUCCCUUGCCACUGUGGCACCGUGGGACAUGGUUUAGCGAGCCUGGUGGGGAUGGUUUGACAGUUAGAUUGGACGAUCCCAGUGGUCUUUUCCAACCUUAAUGAUUCUUUCAUUUGGUGAUUUUAUUUUCACACUAGUUAUAUCACCAGCAAGCUGAACUGACGUCCAGAAUCAAGAGCUGAACUCUCCUUGACACUACAGAAGAAAUCAGUUCUACAAUAAGGAGCUGGCUGUCCUGGUGCUGAAAGUGCUCGGCCUCCACUGGAACAUCCACCAGAGAAUUUGGCUCAAGAGAAAUUGUUGCACAUGAAGAUUUCCGAGCAAUCCUUUCUCACUGCUCUGUUGGAAUGGCUCAUCCAUUGAAGACAACUGUGAGCCCAGAUAUCAAUAAGACCCCUUUUUGUUUUAACCACUGACUACGCACAAACUCCGUACCUCAUCCACAACCUCACCAUCAGAGAAAUAAAAGGAAUAGUGAGUAGAGACUUCAUCCGCUCGGUUCUUUGUUCUGGGCUCAUCUCCAUGUCUUGUAUCCAACAGAUGUUUUCAGACAUGGUAUUGCAAGACGUGAUGCAGAGUUUAUAUCCUCGGCAGACAGGCCAGUUAUUGUUCUCAUAGCAGCAGAUGUCUGAAUCAGCUCAAGCAAGUGAGUUCCUGGGUGACUGCACCUUUCAUUUCUGCUCACCUGUCUUCUGCUUUUCCUCCCAUCUGCACAUCAGCUUGGAAUUAUCUUAAGAUGAAGACCGCCCUCAGCAGGAGCCUGUACAAAGCUCAGCCUAUUUAUAGGCACAUCUCUGCUUGGGACUAUCCUGUGCUACUGUGACACACACAGUAAGCUCUUUAUUAAUAAGUAGAUAAGAAGCUCCUUAGGUCUUAGGUCACUUGUACUGCAUCCCAGUUCGGGAAUUAUCCCACAGGUGAGCUCCCUUUCCAAUCACAUAUGUUCCCACCAGCAACUCCCGCAGUCACUUACACAUGAAAAUAAUAUUAGGAAAACAUUUACUGUAAGCUUUAGCUUAAUUUAGUAGAAUUUAGCAGCUGGAAAUUACAAGGAGGAGCCAGCACCUUGCAAAGAGCCAGCACUCUGCAGACCACCAGCAAGUGCUCCACAGACCUCAGCCUGGAAAGUGAUGAGACAGAUGGAAGUCAUUAUUUUGUUUUGAACAAAAUACCAUCUGGGGCCAACAUUUGCUGUCUGUUACUUCUGAGUGAAUCCAGAGAAACUCCAUCAUGUUCCUUAAUAAUCAGUUCUGGGACCAAUCUUAUUAAAUAUUUUCCUUAAUGAACUUGGCAGAAAAAAGGCAGGCGCCUGGUCAUGAGAUCUGCUGAUGACACAAACUUGAGUGACUGCAUUGCUAUUGCGGAGAAGGAUACAAAUGUGAUAUGGGAAGAGCUGUGGAUGACCUUUAAGGAAAGCCGAGUGAGAGAAGUGGGUGUGCUUUGACAGUAACAAAGAGUAGGAGACUAGACUUAGAGAUUGAGGUAGAAAAAAAUGACCUGAAAUAGUCUAUUUGAUAGAAUCAUGGAAUGGCGUAGGUUGGAGGGGACCUUAAAGAUCAUCAAGGUCCAACCCCCUGCCAUGGGUUGGUUGCUACCCACCAGAUCAGGCUGCCCAGGGCCCCAUCCAACUGGCCUUGAGCACCUCCAGGGAUGGGGGACCCACAGCUUGCCUAUUUGAACACAGUGUCCUUGAAAAGAACAACUGCAGUUGUACUGUAUCUCAGGUGAGAUGUUUCCAGUUGAGACAGGGAAGUGUUAAAUACCAUUGCACAGAGAGUAGCUGGGACAUCACCUGAGUAACUAUGAAGUUCUGGUCACCCAGAUUCAAGAAAGAUUAACUGAAAGUUGAAGAGGUGCAUCUCUAGAAAGGCAGCUAAAGUGCCUGUUUUGUUCAGAGGAGGAAAACAAGCAGAUCCAUAGGCUGCAUCUGUACUAAUUUACUGAAAUUACCUAGAUGGUUCUCCGACAGUGGGGUCCACCAGGAAGGAAUUGGGCAGCCUGGUCUGGUGGUUGGCAACCCUGCACAUAGCAGGGGGGUUGAAACUGGAUGAGCAUUGUGGUGCUUUUCAACCCAGGCCAUUCUGUGAUCCUAUGAUUCCAUGAUUUUAUGAUCCUAUGAUCCUAUGAUUCCAUGAUUCUAUGAUCCUAUGAUUCUAUGCCCUUCCAUUACAGGGCUUUGUGCAUCUUUGCCUUCAACAUGGUGACAUUCUCCCAGUAUUCCAGCGUGGACUAUUUUUAUGCUCUGCGUUACGUUGAUGUGACUGUAAAGAACCAUGUUCUCAAAGAACUCUGGGUUUAUACUGAGCUCAGAAGUCCUGUCUGAAAACUGGUUCUUUAGCUAGCAGGUAUGAUGCCAGUCUUCAUUUGAGGACUUCCGUCCAUGCCUUUUUCAUUGGUCUUUUCUUCUACACACAUGUUGGAAGCACAAAUCAUUUUUGAAGGGUGUGAAAUGCAGCAGCUUUACACUGUUCAGAAGCAAUACUUUGGUUUUACUGCAAACUUUAAUGUAGAUGGCUUGGAGCAACUAUUAGAGUUACAAGCAGAAUAAAUCAACCAGCCAAGUGUCUCUGGUUGCCCAAAUCUCAGAUUUCACAGCAAAAAAAAGCCAAUGUGUGGUGCCACGUGAGAGUGGGAUCCCCUACCUAAGGAAAGUGAUGUAAUCUGUGGAGCUACAAUAGCAAUAAUCUUCUUCGUCAUCCUGUUUCUGUGAGCACUAGCAAUGAAGCAUUAUUAUUUUUCACAACACACUGACUUUUACCAAAGAGUGGGAAUUUCUUCAUUAAUACUGGGGAUACUCCAUUGAUUUUAGAGAAAAGGCUCUUUAUACCUAUACAGAACGCGAGCCAGAAAUUAAAAUUAUAGUAAUUAACUCCAAAACAUAUUUUCCUGCUUAGAAAUCCCAUUCAAGUGCAUAAAUAUCAUUUGAGAAUUACAACACUUGCACAUUGCAUAUCUGCACAUCACAGAUGAUGUAUUCCUCCAAUGCAUGGCUCUACUCGUGCUACAGAUGAGCACAGUCUGAGCAGCCAGCUGGGUGGAUGGCCAGAGGAGAAGUGUCAUUUGGUGCAUCCAUGGAGCUCAACCAGCUGUCUGCCCCAAUGGUGAAAAGCAUCUCUUCCCUUUGCGACUUCUGGCGUGGAUCAGAGAGCCACUAGAACUGGAAAGAUACUGAAUUUCAGCUGGGACACACACAAGCUGCUAAUUGCAUCUCCGCUUCCUACUGCUGGUUGUGCAGGGUGUGGGGUUAAUUCACAGCACAGAGGGAUGAGACAGAGCAAGAAUUCCGUGAGAGAUGAUCUUCUAAAUCAUGACUGACUGCUCUGCAACAGUGAUUAAGGGCCCCAGGAAGAACCAGAGAGCCACUGCAGUAGGUACUGUAUGGACACACACAUUAUUUCUCCCCCCUGCACAUAAAUUUUAUAUAGCUGUGGGGCAGCAGACAUAACACACAUGUACACAGAUAUCUGUGUAUCCUAAGAUCAUCCUGGUUGCUUUUCUCAGAGCUAUUCAGUCUCAGUUGCACUCAUUUUGACUUCAGUCAAGCUCUGAUGAUGUACACAUUAAAAGUCCUUAUGGGACUACGGGAAGAAGGAGCAUUACCUACCACACUGCUCUACAAGUUGCACAGCACGACUGUCCUCCUUCUUUUGUAGCAGUUAUUCCUCCUCAUUUCAGCCUCGCAGCAUCAGGCAAGCCCUAAGCUUGAUCCAAUAUACUGAUUUCUUUUUUUCAAGUGUUCCCAGUUUAUAAUUGGGGGAGGGAGAGAAAAGAAGCAGUGAUGAUUAUCAUAUGCACCAUGUGCCUCAGCACAGGGAACAGCUGGAAUGGUGUGUGCAGUGGUACAACUUCUCAGUGCAACAUGUGCUUUGUCUGCCUCUUUCUGUACAAGUUUCUUUCUUCUGUUCACUUCUCCCUGCUUUGAUGAUUUUGUUUUCUUGUUUUCUUGCCAAUAUUGCUUGAGAUGUACGGUUUCCAGCUCUACUGCUCCUGGGCAGCCCUGCCAUAUGGGCUGCUCAGCAUUAUCAGUGUCUGGGUAAUGAAGAAAUUUUGCUUUGAGGUUAUGUGGCCAUAUGGGCUGCCUGAAGACAAGAAGCUUUAUUUCCAGCUCCAGAGCUGAUUCACAGCAUGACUUCUGUGUGGCCAAGGGUGCCACAGAUAAAUUUAGCUCUCUGCUGCAUGUCAAGGUUUCUAGUUCCUCCAGGCUUCAGAAACUGAGUAAAUGAGACUCUGGAAGAGCUGAUGGUCUACUGAAGGAUGAUGACACGAGUCUUAGGUUUGCAGAUGCACAAAAGGAGGGUUGAAAAUUCCCUGUUGUGUAUCUGGAGUUCCCAGGGCUUGGCUUGGGCCAGUCUUAGAAUCACAGAACAGUGGAACCAUUACAGUUGGAAACGACCACUAAGGUCAUCUAGUCCAACCAUCAACCCACCACUGCCACAAGUCUUCCUAGAGUCUUGGAUUUCCUGCAGUGAAAUAAAAGUACUGCAGCUUCUGCACUUCGAUUUUGUAGACAGUCAACUGCCAUGAGACUUCCCAAGCUGCUCUGUCCAUCUUUUCACUUUUGGGAAGCCCACGGGUCCCACUGGGUGAAAGCAAUACUGAUCCUGGGGCCAUCUGCGUGGCUGGGUUGCUCACAUCUCUGGGAUGUGAAAGCUGCAAGAGCUCCUGGUAGCUAAGAGCCUUUCCAAAACACCUAUGAGUGGGAAUGACACAAUGAUCUUUGGGUGAGGUGCCUUCAGGGCUACUUUGUAUGACAAAGAGGAGGGCUCAACGUGUACAUAAUGCCCACUAAUAGCAAAUACUUCUCAUGGUGUGCCUAACAACCUCUCCGAGAACAAGCUUUGUGUGUCUCAUUUCCCGGGUCACCAUUCUUUGAAUUUCACCUUCACCACAAGAAAACCUAAGCGAGAAUUUGUGGUUAUCAUUCACCAGAGUUGGGACAACACAGCAAGUCUUGGUACCUCCAUUCUACCUUGCGAAAUCUGUCUUCAUAUUUGGCUGCCCCAGCAAUGGAACACGAAGGCCAGUGCCAAGAGAAUACAUCAUUCCCACAACAUGUGGCUGCCAACGAGCCUGCAAGGCUGAGCUGAAGAGUUCAAAGCUUUAAGCUUGGACCAAGACGCCGUGCUGAGGUCGUGCAGUGCUGGCGGGAUGGCUAGGGAUGCAGUAACAAGGAAUCGUGACGUGAGCCAUCAUCGAGUGCUCUCCAGACAGUCACGGAGAUGCAGAUUUACCUCCUCCGUACCAAGGAUCAUUAUUUCUGUGUGGUAUUUUUAGACUGUAAGCACCCAGGAGAUUGUUAGAAGCAGGUAGGCUGUUCUGCAUUCCUACAGUCCCACAGAGGUUAGGCUGAGGAAGGAGUUUGUGGGGCAAGACUGAGUCAUCUGGAUAGAGUGCAGAAGGUUUGCUUUACACCUACACAGGACAUUGCCUUUUUUUUUUUUUUCUGUGUUCUUCAAUCUCCUGUGCUUUUUUAACAGUCUUUAUGAAAGAUCAAUGUAAAUGGAUAAAUAAAUAAAACUACCCUAUCCAUAUCAUUAGGGUCCAGGUUUAGACAUCAGCAGUGUCAGUAGCAGCACCUCAGCACCAGUCUGGAAAAGCUUUCCUUGUCCUAUGAGAUUCAUCCUCCUGCUGUAUAUUACCCAGCAUAUGUUCCAGCAGCUCUUCAGAAACAGGUUCAGGCUUUCUGGUGCAAGGGCCCCUAUCCAAACCAAAUAUACUGAGUGCAAGAGGCAAGCAGAUGAGUGCUAGAGGGCUAUGGUCUUUCCCACAUGUUCACUUGGACAGUUUAGACACACUUCUAAAAAACCACAGUCCC
rnacentral:lncRNA from 1 species